rnacentral:rRNA from 1 species
UGGGGAAUUUUGGACAAUGGGGGAAACCCUGAUCCAGCCAUCCCGCGUGUGCGAUGAAGGCCUUCGGGUUGUAAAGCACUUUUGGCAGGAAAGAGACGUCAUGGGUUAAUACCCCGUGAAACUGACGGUACCUGCAGAAUAAGCACCGGCUAACUACGUGCCAGCAGCCGCGGUAAUACGUAGGGUGCAAGCGUUAAUAGGAAUUACUGGGCGUAAAGCGUGCGCAGGCGGUUCGGAAAGAAAGAUGUGAAAUCCCAGAGCUCAACUUUGGAACUGCAUUUUUAACUACCGGGGUUGAGUGUGUCAGAGGGAGGUGGAAUUCCGCGUGUGGCAGUGGAAUGCGUAGAUAUGCAGAGGAACACCGGUGGCGGAGGCAGCCUCCUGGGAUAACACUGACACUCAUGCACGAAAGCGUGGGGAGCAAACAGG